rnacentral:rRNA from 1 species
UACGUAGGGGGCGAGCGUUGUCCGGAUUUAUUGGGCGUAAAGAGCGUGUAGGCGGCCUGAAAGGUCAGCUGUGAAAACUCGAGGCUUAACCUCGAGACGUCGGUUGAAACCAUCUGGCUAGAGUCCGGAAGAGGAGUGUGGAAUUCCCGGUGUAGCGGUGAAAUGCGCAGAUAUCGGGAAGAACACCCGUGGCGAAGGCGGCUCUCUGGGACGGUACUGACGCUGAGACGCGAAAGCGUGGGGGAGCGAACAGG